rnacentral:rRNA from 1 species
GGAGGGAGCGGCCGGUCCGCGUCCUUUGGGCGCGUGUACUAGCUGUGUCUCCCACCUGCCUUGCGGGGACCGUGUCGUGCGGCUCUGCUGUCACGGCCGGGAACCGCAUCAUUUACUGUGAGAAAAUUAGAGUGUUCAAAGCAGGUCUGCGCGUCUUUGAAUACGUUAGCAUGGAAUAAUAAGAUAGGACUCUGUGCCUAUUUUGUUGGUUUGCGAGCCAGAGUA